rnacentral:rRNA from 1 species
AGCGAACGCUGGCGGCAGGCUUAACACAUGCAAGUCGAGCGGGCACUUUCGGGUGUCAGCGGCGGACGGGUGAGUAACGCGUGGGAACGUGCCCUCUGGUUCGGAAUAACUCAGGGAAACUUGAGCUAAUACCGGAUACGCCCUUUUGGGGAAAGGCUUGCUGCCGGAGGAUCGGCCCGCGUCUGAUUAGCUAGUUGGUGAGGUAACGGCUCUCCAAGGCGACGAUCAGUAGCUGGUCUGAGAGGAUGAUCAGCCACACUGGGACUGAGACACGGCCCAGACUCCUACGGGAGGCAGCAGUGGGGAAUAUUGGACAAUGGGCGCAAGCCUGAUCCAGCCAUGCCGCGUGAGUGAUGAAGGCCUUAGGGUUGUAAAGCUCUUUUAUCCGGGACGAUAAUGACGGUACCGGAGGAAUAAGCCCCGGCUAACUUCGUG